AGGAUGAAAAUCGGACUUAGUGAUCCGGUGGUUCUGCGUGGAAGGGCCAUCGCUCAACGGAUAAAAGCUACCCUGGGGAUAACAGGCUUAUCUCCCCCAAGAGUCCACAUCGACGGGGAGGUUUGGCACCUCGAUGUCGGCUCAUCACAUCCUGGGGCUGUAGUAGGUCCCAAGGGUUGGGCUGUUCGCCCAUUAAAGUGGUACGCGAGCUGGGUUCAGAACGUCGUGAGACAGUUCGGUCCCUAUCCGUCGCAGGCGUAGGAAAUUUGAGAAGACCUGUCCUUAGUACGAGAGGACCGGGAUGGACGUACCUCUGGUGUACCAGUUGUUCUGCCAAGGGCAUGGCUGGGUAGCUAUGUACGGAAUGGAUAAGCGCUGAAAGCAUCUAAGCGCGAAGCCAACUUCAAGAUAAGAUUUCCCACCGCAAGGGUAAGACCCCAGAAAGACUAUCUGGUUGAUAGGUCGAAGGUGUAAGUGCAGCAAUGUAUUUAGCUUAUCGAUACUAAUAGGUCGAGGACUUGACCAAU
rnacentral:rRNA from 1 species